CCUACGGGAGGCAGCAGUGAGGAAUAUUGGUCAAUGGGCGCGAGCCUGAACCAGCCAAGUAGCGUGAAGGAUGAAUGCCCUACGGGUUGUAAACUUCUUUUAUAAAGGAAUAAAGUGAGGCACGUGUGCCUUUUUGUAUGUACUUUAUGAAUAAGGAUCGGCUAACUCCGUGCCAGCAGCCGCGGUAAUACGGAGGAGCCGAGCGUUAUCCGGAUUUAUUGGGUAUAAAGGGCGCGUAGAUGGGUUGUUAAGUCAGUUGUGAAAGUUUGCGGCUCAACCGUAAAAUUGCAAUUGAUACUGGCAGGCUGGAGUACAGUUGAGGUAGGCGGAAUUCGUGGUGUAGCGGUGAAAUGCUUAGAUAUCACGAAGAACUCCGAUUGCGAAGGCAGCUUACUAAACUGCCACUGACAUUGAUGCCCGAAAGUGUGGGUAUCAAACAGGAUUAGAUACCCCAGUAGUC
rnacentral:rRNA from 1 species